rnacentral:rRNA from 1 species
CAGUAGCCGCGGUAAUACGUAGGGUGCGAGCGUUAAUCGGAAUUACUGGGCGUAAAGCGUGCGUAGGCGGUGAGUUAAGUCUGCUGUGAAAUCCCCGGGCUCAACCUGGGAAUGGCAGUGGAUACUGGCUCGCUAGAGUGUGUCAGAGGAUGGUGGAAUUCCCGGUGUAGCGGUGAAAUGCGUAGAGAUCGGGAGGAACAUCAGUGGCGAAGGCGGCCAUCUGGGACAACACUGACGCUGAGGCACGAAAGCGUGGGGAGCAAACAGGAUUAGAUACCCCGGUAGUCCCUGUCUCUUAUAC